UGCAGUUUCUUAACUUAGUACACCUGCGGUCUUAGAUAAUGUAAGCAAUGCUUUCUAUACUAGUGGCAACUCUUACUUUUCUGGCUAGUGUACUUGCUGUAAUCUAGUCUUUCCAUGAAUUUGAAGAUCAUUUAUGCCCGUGCCUCUACUUCUGAGCAUCAGUACAACUUGCUUCUUGGUUUGGCUGCCAAAAUGUGUGAAGAACCAUUCAAAUAACUGAUUGUGGAUUCAGUGAUUGCUCUCUUCCAAGUCGAUUUUACUGCAAGAGAACUUGCAGAGCCCCAGUCGUAGCUGAUCCAGGCGGAGGUGUGUUAUCAGACCCAAUGAAACCUGCAGGCAGGCAUGUUCUGGCUCAUGCAGCCACAACUAGGUUAAUGUUUGGGAAAGUCAGAAGGAAUCAGUGUGUCUGCAAGGUGUUUGAUGCCCCAAACCUACCCGAAGCUGAACCUAAGUCAAUACUGAGGCUAAAUAUAGAUAGGUGGAGACCUUAUUUAAGCAUGGUGCUUACAGUAUACUUGAUGUUGUAUGGAGAUCCAUGAACACGUUGAAUACGAAUUUUGUGCAGAGUUAUUAAACAAAAAGAAGUGGAUAUGGAGAAUUUUUUUAAA